CGGGGCCUAGGCCGGAUGUUAUCUGGGCAGGCCUAGGAGAGGGCCGUGGAAUUAAGUUAAAAUCUCUAUUCGGGAGAGGGCCGGUCGCCCGGCUAUGGAGACUUAGCAUGGAGGGAUGAUUAGAAGCUGGACAAGAGGACCUAAAGGAGAAAGCCGUUCCAGCAGGAACAGCCUCACGCCACUCAAGCUGAAAGCACCGACCAGCAACUCCGACGCCACCCGCUCCACCGGCAGCGCCCCAAGUGUGCCAGCCCAGGUAACCCUGCCUCAUCUCCAG
rnacentral:lncRNA from 1 species